CCUACGGGAGACUGCAGUGGGGAAUAUUGCACAAUGGGGGGAACCCUGAUGCAGCGACGCCGCGUGAGUGAAGAAGUAUUUCGGUAUGUAAAGCUCUAUCAGCAGGGAAGAAGAUGACGGUACCUGACUAAGAAGCCCCGGCUAACUACGUGCCAGCAGCCGCGGUAAUACGUAGGGGGCACGCGUUAUCCGGAUUUACUGGGUGUAAAGGGAGCGUAGACGGCAGGGCAAGUCUGGAGUGAAAGCCGGGGGCCCAACCCCGGGACUGCUUUGGAAACUGCCAUGCUAGAGUGCUGGAGAGGUAAGCGGAAUGCCUAGUGUAGCGGUGAAAUGCGUAGAUAUUAGGAGGAACCCCAGUGGCGAAGGCAGCUUACUGGACAGUAACUGACGUUGAGGCACGAAAGCGUGGGGAGCGAACAGGAUUAGAUACCCCUGUAGUC
rnacentral:rRNA from 1 species